UGGCACUGAGGCUGCAUUUCCUGCCCCCCCCCCCAGUGUGUAUGAUGACCUAAUCAUUCCAGAGGAGGGCCUUCAUCUCCAUGGCCUCUUAGUUUCCAGCCCCAUCACUGAAGUGGAGAUCUCUGUCCCGAGAGCCGAUGCAUCUCUCGUGGUGACUUGCAGCACACUCAUGUGAAGUGAGGGGACACGGAGACUCGGGUCACCAGGAGGAAAACUGAGGAACAUUCCAGAACACUUCAAGGAUGGAGAAGCAGCUGGUGUUUAAAGCCAUCCGAGGCAAGCGCUGCAGAACUGAAUGGACGUCUCUGGGAAAAUCCACAGGACUUCAACCAAACCAUCUUCUCGGAUACCCCGGGUUUCACUGAGAGACACCUGCCUGCCUUCCUGGAGUUGAUCUUGGUUGUGGUGGGGUCCUCCUUUAGGUCUUUUUCUUUCCGAUCCCGCCAGGGGAGGUUUCUGAUCGCUCUUUAGCUACGUUUCCCUUUAGAAGUUUCUUCACCCUUCUGCCAGCAUCAUCUGUUUGCAUAUCAAUGAUGGGUUCAUUCAGGACCAGAGAGUUUUAACCCUGCUCGGGUAGAAACACCCCUUCACGUCGUGGCUGAUGUUUCUCAACCACGGAAAGCUUAGUUGCCCUUGGGGAAAAAUAUCCUUUUCUGCUCUGGUGUUCUACUUGUGACGAGAUGAAGCCGUUUCCCUUAAGUCCCGGCCGCUUGGCAAAUGCUUAUUUUAACUGACACUCGGGUCAAAGGCUUGUUUGUCGCGUCCUUUCAUUUUGGUUUUAUGGCAAAUUAAAUUAUGCUUGCGGUUAAACAAAAUUA